GGCUCAGCAACACGUCGAUAAUCUGCCCUUAGGUUCAGGAUAAGGACGGGAAACUGUCUCUAAGACUGGAUAUGGAAUUUGUGCUGGAAAGCUAUUUUCCUGAAACGUAAGGCCUAAGGAUGAGUCGGCGGCUGAUUAGUUUGUUGGUGAGGUAAUGGCUCACCAAGACUAAGAUCAGUAGGGGAGAUGAGAGUCUUGGCCUCGAGAAGGGAACUGAGAUACUGUCCCUAGCCCUAAGGGGUGCAGCAGUUACGAAAACUUUACACUGCGCGAAAGCGUGAUAAGGGAAUUCCUAGUGCUCAUACUUUGUAUGGGCUUUUGCCAAGUGCAAAAAGCUUGGCGAAUAAGUGAUGGGCAAGACCGGUGCCAGCCGCCGCGGUAACACCGGCGUCACAAGUGGCAAUCACAAUUAUUGGGCCUAAAGCGUCCGUAGCCGGUUUAGUAAAUUUCUUGUGAAAUUGUUCGGCUUAACCGAACAGCGUGCAAGAAACACUGCUGAACUUGAGACCGGGAGGAGCUAGAGGUAUUCCAAGGGGAGCGGUAGAAUGCUAUAAUCCUUGGAGGACCACCUAUGGCGAAGGCUUCUAGCUAGAACGGUUCUGACGGUGAGGGACGAAAGCCAGGGGAGCGAUCGGGAUUAGAUACCCCAGUAGUCCUGGCUGUAAACGCUGCGAGCUAGGUGGUGCAUAUUUCUUAGUGGAUAUGCGGCGCCUGAGUGAAGACGUUAAGCUCGCCGCCUGGGAAGUAU
rnacentral:rRNA from 1 species